CAAGUCCCCAAAUGGUUGCUGAUCAAGUACAUAUUACACACUUAAGACAGUACAGAUUCCAUGCAGGAUCUGUCAGCCACUGAUUAGCUCAAACUUUCCACACUCUAAUACACAACCAACCACAGAAAAUGUAUCUGCGCACACAGCCGACAACAUAAAUUUCUGAAGAGAUAUUAUCUCUUCACAACAUAACCAAGGAGGACUGUGAGCAAGCACACAAUCACCACAAACAUAAACGAGAAGCCACCGCUUUGUUUGCUAAUUUCUCGCCUCAUAAGCUCCAGUUCCUGUCGGAGUUUAGUGUUUUGCUGAAGGGCUAAAUUUUUCUCCUCGGUCAACUUUGAAAUAAGUGUCUCCGAAGUUUUGUCCUGAGGCUCAGUAAAAGCCCUUGAUGCAUUGACGAAUUCCGCCGUAUACGCAUUCCCAUUAUCAGAUAACGAAGCCCUCGGUGACGACCCCUCCUCAGACCCCUCAUGCACCGGCGAAGGCGGCCGUGGCGGCGCCACAUAGAGCACCCGCAACUUCACCUCCUCCACAACAUUCCCCGAGUCCUUUG
rnacentral:misc_RNA from 1 species